rnacentral:miRNA from 1 species
GGAAUUUACAUGGUCUUUCUCUCUUCUAGCUUCUAGCUAUACCUCCCUUUUUCCUCCACUCAUCAUAUCUUUAUUGGCAUCAUUGAAGAUCCCUGUUGUCAGUUUUUAGUUUUGUUUGUGCUACCCCAAUAAAUCCUUAUCAUCACUAGAACCAACCAACUAGAAUUUUGCAUGUUAUUGACCUUCAUGUAGCAUGUCUAAGUCUUUAUAGAAGUGGGUUCCUGAUCUUUUGCUUUAAUUUCUCUCCAGAAUGCAACAGUACUUCGUUUCUGUGAGUGUCUUUUUAUUAAUUUCUACUACUUUGGUUUGUUUUUUCAACAGAUGGAGCACAAUAUGCUAGAGACUAGAGAGAGUGUUGAGCUCUAACAAACACAGGCACGGCGUUUACAGAAUAAUGGAACAGUAUAACGGGAUAUUGGUCCGGUUCACUCAG